rnacentral:lncRNA from 1 species
ACUAGAUCCUUGCUUGACUUGAGAGGUAUGAGGUUGGAACGGCUGUAGCCAUCUCCAUCUAUUGAGGGAACACGGGUUUGAGAACACAGUCAAGUCAGGACGAGAACAAGAGACGCUGGAUCUUGAGGACAGUGCUUGAGCCCUCGAAUCAAUCAAUGUCUAAACUAAUGGAGGGUCGAUGAAGACAUUUGGCCAGAGGACCCUGAAACACCUGAAUCCCACCUUUGGCUGGCUAGCCCCAUUUCUCAGCAGUGCCUUCACAGGAGCGGCCUGGAGGUUGACAGAACAAGAUGGAAGCCCUUCAAGAAAAUUGUCAAUAAAGAAAGACUGAAAAUGGGCAUAGCUUUCCUGAGGCUUUCCCUUUGCAGUAGCAAAUGG